rnacentral:rRNA from 1 species
ACCCAGACUCCUACGGGAGGCAGCAGUGGGGAAUAUUGCACAAUGGGGGAAACCCUGAUGCAGCGACGCCGCGUGAGUGAAGAAGUAUUUCGGUAUGUAAAGCUCUAUCAGCAGGGAAGAAAAUGACGGUACCUGAUUAAGAAGCCCCGGCUAACUACGUGCCAGCAGCCGCGGUAAUACGUAGGGGGCGAGCGUUAUCCGGAUUCACUGGGUGUAAAGGGAGCGUAGACGGCCAUGCAAGCCAGGGGUGAAAGCCCGGGGCCCAACCCCGGGACUGCCCUUGGAACUGCAUGGCUGGAGUGCGGGAGGGGCAGGCGGAAUUCCUGGUGUAGCGGUGAAAUGCGUAGAUAUCAGGAGGAACACCGGCGGCGAAGGCGGCCUGCUGGACCGCGACUGACGUUGAGGCUCGAAAGCGUGGGGAGCAAACAGGAUUAGAUACCCCUGUA